rnacentral:rRNA from 1 species
GACGAACGCUGGCGGCGUGCUUAACACAUGCAAGUCGAACGGAAAGGCCCCUUUGGGGGUCCUCGAGUGGCGAACGGGUGAGUAACACGUGAGUAACCUGCCCUUGACUUCGGGAUAACUUCAGGAAACUGGGGCUAAUACCGGAUAGGAAUCCUUGCUGCAUGGUGGGGGUUGGAAAGCUUCGGCGGUUUUGGAUGGACUCGCGGCUUAUCAGCUUGUUGGUGGGGUAGUGGCUUACCAAGGCUUUGACGGGUAGCCGGCCUGAGAGGGCGACCGGCCACAUUGGGACUGAGAUACGGCCCAGACUCCUACGGGAGGCAGCAGUGGGGAAUAUUGCACAAUGGGCGGAAGCCUGAUGCAGAAACGCCGCGUGCGGGAUGACGGCCUUCGGGUUGUAAACCGCUUUCAGCAGGGGCGAAGCUUGUGGUGACGGUACCUGCAGAAGAAGCACCGGCUAACUACGUG